CGCUCCAUCUUCAUGACCCGUCCUUCCGUUUCAUCUCCCCUCCAUUAUUCCGUCACGGCGAUACCCCUUUAUCAUAGGCCCCUCCAUCCUCGCAGUCUCGCAUCCUCUCUAGCCCCCCGUUUAACGACGAUGGCCACAGCCCACAUGGUGUCUUUCUCGCUCUGCUAUCUGGUCCAGGCCGCCGCCGUUGCCCCAAAGAGGGAUAGUCUGUAUCUAGAGUGCCACCUCGAUUUGUUCCAGGAGAUGGAUGCUGCAGCGUAAGAUUCGUGAAGACCUGCCCAAUUAGUGCUCACUAAGCAGAACGAAUGUGUCAUGAGGUUCUUGCGUUCAUUAUGCAUCUCACGUGGUACAUUGGGCCUCACUUUUAGUUACCCACAUGUUCAUACCUAUCAUGUAAAGCUGAUUAUACCUAUCCAAUUCCUGGCGGUGUUACUCUACCACAGGUAAGCCCUCUUACAUUGCUCCUCUUUUUUGAUUAGUUUAUCACAUACGAUUAGUGCUAUCGGUUCAUGUUGUUUUGUGCAGCACAUGUAAUCUCAAUCACAGAUGUUGUAUUCAUAAUCUUAACUUUUUCGCUGUGUUUCAAUUCAGUCAAAGGUCGGUUACUCCUUGCUACAAUCAUCUUGAUGAUCUGCAGUCUUUUUAUUAGUAUGGAAUUACAGAGUAUGCGAUCAAUCAUCAGAUUCUCGAGGGAUAUUCUGAGCAUCGUUUAUGGGGAAAAAUACAGUUUCAAGAGCAUGCGCAGGCCCCAAUUCCCAAGUAUAUAUAGCAUCAGACUUCCUCUUCCACGGAUGGUAUGCAAGUUGACAUGGAACAAUAACAUUUACUUCAGGUUUUUCUACUAACCGUUUCGUUUCCCACUAUACCUCCAAUUUCAGUGGUAGCCAAAUUUCAUUAUUUUUUAAAUCUUUCAUGUAAUUAUAGCUGCUACCACGAGACUCCGAUAAUACAUGUACUGCAAGGCAAUGAACAUGUCGAAGUUUGAGGUGUCUCUUUCUACAUGCUAAUCAGGUCAUCUGCUCCAUUUUCCGCUGAGCACAUCUUGAUUUCCACUUUGUCUUUGCCACCAUUGAGAACAUCUGGAGUCAAAUGUACUUGCUCACCGUCAAAUGUACUUGCUCAGCUAGAGUCACGUAUAAGUUGGAUAUUCUCUCUCUUACUUAGUCACAUGUUGUAUCCUAAUAUAUUUAAGGAGUCUGUAAACUUACAUGGCCCGUUAUACUAUGGUUUCUAUCCAAUGUUGUAUAUAUCAUAUUUGUGCUUUUGAUUAUAUACAUUUAAAAAAAUUAUACUAUGUACUAAAAGCUUCCAUUAAAAAAAACCUUCAACCAUACUAUUUAAUUUGUGUUGCAUCUAAGGUGUUUCAAGUCUCGCAUCAACGCGCGGGGUAUCAUCUAGUUGUAUUGAAUAAACAAAUCUAAGCUAAUCAAAAAUAGUAAGAAUCUUAAAAUAAGCUGCCCAUGUGAAAAAAUCACUAGAAUAACAACAAUACUGAAGUAGAGUUGUUACUGAUAUUUAUAUGGGUAUAGGAGAUUGUGGGAGAAAAUUUUCUGCAUGUAGCUGUUCCAAAAAAUGGCUUAUAUUGUAUUAAGUAAAAAUUCAUUUCGCCAUCCAUUGUCUGUUUAGCAUUAUGUUAUUGGUGCUUUCAUUUAGAUGAAAAAAAAUUACCUGCGUCAGUACUGAAGAAAACUAGGCAGUUUCAUUCUUGCUGAUGAUUAUAUUUAAAAUAGAUAACUCUUCUUAAUAAGUAAUGGUAUUAUUAAAAUAAAUUAUGUUUUGUAAUCAACAAUUGCUUGAUCUAAUUUACAUUUUCCAUGGCAAUAUUAAUAUGAUAAAUUAUAUAUGCAUGCAAUGAAUCCUUGGGAAAACAAAUGCAUAUUUUAUUUUAUCAUAGAAAUGUAUCCAUGGAGAAAAAACAGUGCACACACUAAACACACGCACUGAAUUAGACAUUUAUUAGUUUAUGUAAAUUGUAUUAAGUUGGAUAACAAAUUAUUGUUCUUUCUAUUUUAGGGUUUGCACCGCCAGCAAAAGUCACAGGACCAGCAUAGACGGAUCUAGCAUGCCUAUUGGCUGGGCAGCCGCCCAGGCUUCCGGCCGGCCGACAAGCCUAUUUUGACCUCUACUUUAUAUGCAUUUAACAAAAAAAAAUAGCAUAUUAAGCUUGUUUGCCCGGGCUUCAAAAUCUUCUUGGAUCCGCCUAUGUGGACCAGGACAACUUUCUGCAAUAGAAAUUUCAAUAAAAACGUAUGCAGAAAAACCAAAAGAACUUGUGAUUAAUUCAGAGAAGGCAGUGGCUAAAAGAGAGGAGGAAGAGAAACAAUGUGAUUGGAUUGGAGUGGCCCAGACGACGCGUGUUGGGGUAAAUAUAGCAUCGCUCACUUCACUGUGCAACGGCACACCUAUUCUUCUGCAGGCACAGUGCGUAACAGUUGAAAUUUGGACACAGCUCGUGGAUUGGUGUCGGCACAGUGCCAUUGCAUGUGGAACUCAAUAAAUGCGCAUGGUAGUGAAUACAAAUCCGAAGCGGAUAUACAACACCAUAUACGGUAGACAAACUGAUUGAGUACGUCGGAAGGUACGGACAUGUGGAUGUCCAGACGACCAGAACGAACGGCUAGGAGCCUCUCCACCCGGCGGGAUCACUGAAGCUCGUCUGCUCGUGUGCCAUUAGCACUUUUCGGAAAGAUUGGGCCUAAAAAAUUCCUUUCAAGCCGAGCCAAAGUGAAUUUCCUGCAAUCCCCCUUGUACUAGUCCUACCCGGACUCCAAUCCGAAAGUACUCCCACGCGCUGCUAUACAUAUGCCUGUCAGACCUGAGCCCUCCGCCAAACCACCGACCGCCGCGGCCUCUAUUCUUCUGGGAGUAGCAACCCCCUCGACGGUCGACGCGUAGGUCCGAUCAUCUACCUGUCUUGCUCCAUCCGUCGUCGCUAGAUCGGGUCACAGCUACUCUUCUUCUUCUAGAAACAGCAAAGUAACAGCGACCACUGCAACGCCCCGAGGCGGGGAACAAAAAUUGCUCGUGCCCUAGAUUUGUACCUUAGUUCUUGAUAGUUUCCGAGUGUGCCGCAUUGACCAAAUUGCACCCCGAAUUGCAUCUUUGGCGAUUUCGAUCCAGUUGACUGGGAUCCGGUUUCCAAGGGGUUGAAGCAAAUCCUGUCUUGACUACACAAACUGAAGCUUGUUUUCUAUCUAAAAAAAGAAGGUACUCCAUUAAGGACUUAAGGAUACAAUGCAGCAAAAUAUUGAAGAUGAGCUGAAGGAGCUCAAGAACAAGGCUAGGUUCAUUUCCUGUCUUAUCAGCGGUGAAAUAAAAAUCGUUAUGAGGGACUUGGAAGAGCUGCUACAAGCCAUUAUAGCCAAGGGAUUUGAUCGCCUCCCAAAGGAAGGGUAGAUGAUAAGUAUGGACAUAGAUAUGGUGAGCAAUCCUGAUGUCGUCGAUUAUGCCUAUCUCAUCAGUAUGCGUGUUCGUUGCAUAAGCAAGGAGUACUUGUGUACUCUUGCUGAGCAAACGAAGAAAAUCGAAGCUGAACUCGCAAGAAAAGAUGCAAAACGUUUGCGCCACGGAGCUUGCAAGAAGGCUGAAUCAGAUAGAGAGGUUAUGGUAGACACGAGGAGCAAAGACAGUGAGAUAUUUGAUGCAGCACCCAGGACUGAAGCCAAUGCUUUUAAGAAGGAAGAUUAAUGCUAAUUGUAGCAAUUUUUGCAUACAUAGAAACUGAGGGCACACAAAGGUAUCAACAAAAGAGCAAAAGGAAUCAAGCAAUACAGGCGUACUAACAGCACAUCUUAAGACAGCCAAGCAAAGCAAACUGAUUGGUGCACAAUGGCAGUAUCGGAAGCUAUAGAACAGUUAUCAAAAAAAAUCAUAGGGCAAAAAACCAUCAGCCAAGAUCCUUUGUAGUUUGCCUGGUCUAUCUAGUCAGGCUGGUUCCACCACUGCACAGUGGUGCAAGCCCUUCAACGGGCACUGAAGACAUGGAGCCUUCACACUUCCAAUAAAAUCUGAAGCAUGUUGGCGAUGAGUCCUAUUUUGUAUCUUUGUACAGUAUAUAUGGUUGAUCAGAGAAAUUAAGAAGUCUUAAUUUUGAACAUGUAGUAGCUGAAUCUGAUAUUCCUUUUGUAGUUUUGUUGUGACAUAUGCGUUAUGUGUACAUCAAUUGGGUCGAGGUGUCGGCUGGUGUCU